CAUUUAGUUGGGCACUCUAAAGUGACUGCCGGUGCAAGCCGGAGGUAGGUGGGGAUGACGUCAAAUCUUCAUGCCCCUUAUGACCUGGGCUACUCACGUGCUACAUUGGAUAGUACAAAGGGUCGCGAAGCCGCGAGGUGGAGCUAAUCCCAUUAAUCUAUUCUCAGUUCGGAUUGUAGGCUGCAUCUCGCCUACAUGAAGCCGGAAUCGCUAGUUAUCGUGGAUCAGCAUGCCACGGUGAAUUCGUUCCCGGGCCUUGUACACUCCGCCCGUCACACCACGAGAGUUUGUAACACCCGAUGUCGGUUGGGUUUCCUUUAUGGAGCCAGCCGCCGAAGGUGGGAC
rnacentral:rRNA from 1 species